GUUUUUCCUCACAUCAGUAACCUUUCCGAGAAAUCAGAUGCUGUGUAGGCUAUCGUUAUCUCAGUUCCGUUUCAGCUGAUGAGAGAUGCCAAGGAGCAAGUCAGUCUGACUGACUUAUGGCCAAUAUGUCCAUUGAAAGAUGGGAAACUACACUUGAUGGUACAGGGCAGAAUGCCAUCUGUUCCAGGUAUACCCAUUUUGUACAAUUAGUACAGAAACUUAAGUGCUAAUUUAACCUUUAUUUGUUUACAUAAAGGGAAAGCUAGGUGACAUAUAGAUUAAGUGAGCUCGCUAAUGUACUUGGUUAGUCACUGCAACCAGUUUACAAAAUUCCUUUGAAUUGCACUAUGUAGAUUUUAACACUGGCAACACAAUGAAUAUGCAGUAAUUGUGAAAGUUUUUAGUCAUCUGACUACUGUAGUUUUUUAGCGUGAAGUUAUUGCAGUGUAACUGAACAGGUUCUUAACCAGGAGUCACCGAGUGUUGGUUUUUGUCCAAUACCAGCUUGGGAGGCUAAAGAUAAAUAGGAAAAUAUUAAUAAUCGUUACAUUUUCAUGCCAACCCCAGACCAGAUAGCGGUUUUACAGCCAUCAUUCAGAAACCAUAAAAUGCGGAUGCAGUGAAGGUGAAGUCACAUGACCACAGUUUGUUUUAGGAUGUGAGCCUACCUUGUGGUUUGCACUCACCUUCAUAGUGUAGGUGUGGCCUAUAUCCAGGUCCAGUUUGGGGAAGUUGGCAGUGGUAUCUUCAUUUUCUCAAGUCACAAAAAUACUCACAGAGCUUGGAAAAAACAAUAAACCGAAAUGUUUUGGUUGUGGAGAUUUCCACAACUCAUUGCUUUGUUGCUUUUACACUUUCUUUAGAAUUGUGUACGUUUUCCCUCGGCAAUACCCAGAAGGCUAGGCACUUCCAUUUGAAGGAUGUCAAUUCUUAAGAAAUCUUUUGUAAUAAUACCAAUACUUAAUUUAACCUCAAGGUCUAGGCUUGACUGGCUGCAUACAGAGCUUCUGUUGGAGAGCCACACCACAUGUACAGCUGCUCCGCGCAUACCAUAGUCAAAGUCAAAUUGAGGUGGAAUUAUAAUGUAUUUUGAGCUCAACACACCUGGUGCAUGAUGUUCUAACAUAAUGCUAACCAGUUUCCACUCUAAACUGUAAUAUUUAAGUACAAGUAAGAAAAAAGCAAAAAUACACUACAUUUCCAAAAGUAUGUGGACACCGCUUUUUAAUGAGUGGUUUCAACCACACUCAUUGCUAACAGGUGCAUAAACUCAAGCAUACAGCCAUGCAAUCUCCAUUGGCAAACACUGGCAGUAGAAUAGGUUGUACUGAAGAGCUCAGUGACAUUCACUGUGGCACUGUCAUAGGAUGCCACCUUUCCAACAAGUCAGUUUGUCAAAUUUCUGCCCUGCUAGAGCUGCUCCAGUCAGCCACAAAAUGUUGUGAGUGCUGUUAUUGUGAAGUGGAAACGUAGAGGAGCAACAACAGCUCAGCCACAAAAUGGUAGGCUACACAAACUCAGAGAAAGGGAACGCCGAAGCGUGUAGCUUGUGAAAAAUCCUUGGUUGCAACACUUACUACAUCACAACGUCAGCACAAGAACAGUUCAUCAGGAGCUACAUGAAAUGGGUUUCCAACGCCAAGCAACUGAACACAAGACUAAGAUCAACUGAACACAAGACUAAGACUAAUGAUUUGCUGAGUUUGGUGAGGAAAAACUUGACUGGCCAGCACAGAGCCCAGACCUCUACCCCAUCAAACACUUUGGGAUGAGCUGGAAGGCUGGCUGCGAGCAUUGUGGUUGAAUGGAAGAGAGUCCCCGCAACAGUGUUCCAAAAUCUUCUGGAAAGCCUUCCCAGAUGAGUGGAGGCAGUCACAAUGUUCAACAAGUGCAUAUGGGUAUGCUGUUCAGGUGUCCACAUACUUUUUUUUUGUGUAUGUUUAGAAAAUGAUGUUUAGAAUCUACAUGGUAAAUGACUUAUCUACUUUCUGGAGUUCAUUUUUAAAUACUUAAAAGGGGCUGCUGGGUGGCUUAUCCUGUUAAGGUACUGUUCUAGUGUGGAUGGGACCACGGGGCAAUUUUAUUGAACCCAGUAGGGUUCUGGUUGAUUAGAUAUGCCAGUUAUUGUUCAGUUUUAUUAUUUCCCAAUUUACACUCACAAUAUGGAAUGAAGUAGCCCAACUUCCAUAGAAAUUUUCAAAAGUUAGCAAGGAGCAACAUGUGGCUACAGUACAACUAACAGCAUUAGCCCUUGUUAUUUUAAACUGCCAAUGUUCAAAAGUUGAAAAAAGUUUGAUGUAAUUUUAUUUUACCAAAUACAUUAAUUUACAUUUAAAAACACAAAUUUGAAUGUUUUAUCAUUACGUUGUAGUUUACAAGUACAACACAUUGAUUUUAUUUUCAGUACCACUGCGAAUAUUUAAAUGUAUUUUCAAAAAAAAAAAGAAAACCUUUAAAAAUGCACAUUAAGAUUUUAAGUGUUUUAUACGAAGAAUUUAUUAGCAGUCGUUAUUUUUCAAAUUAAAUGUAAUUGCAUAUUAAACAUGUCCCAUACAUAUAAUAUUUAAUACAUUUAUUAAAUUUGUACCAGCUGUAUUCUUUUUACAGUGAUUGUCAAACAUUACAUGUAAAAUGUGGGUUUGACAAUUAAUUUCCUAUAUUCUUCCAUGGCUAUGAUUCAUAAGCACAGACUCACCCACCCCAUAUUGUAUAUAUUUGUUAUGCAUAUUGUUCUGAAAUCCUUGUAUGGCUUUAGUAGGAAUACUCCUUGGAACCCAUUGAAUGCGGCGAAGGCCAUUUUUUUCCCCAGCAGAUGUGACUGAAAAGGUGUCACCACUGGCUUUUCCCAGGGAUACAAACAUGACAGCAUGCAAGUUCUGGCUUUUUAUCCAUUGUCCAUGAAUGGCAUUAGGGAAUGGUGGUGUUAAACUGUCCCUGAAUUGAAUUUUUUAAAAAAGGUUUGUUUCCUUUGCCUCUUCACUUUAAAUCAUAAUCUGGGUGGGGAAGCACCGGGUAGCCGGCGUUAUACAUCUCAGUGUGGGCUUGGGGUCGUGGUGAAUAAGAAUGCUCUUCUAAAGCUCCUAACCAGGGCCGUUGCUCUUUGCAUGUCCAGUGCCAAGAGAAAAAUAUGCUGCACCUGCAGCUCCCUGUCAAGUUCUGGCCCCACACUAGGGCUUCGCUGUUUUUUUUUUUUUUUGGAGAAUCAGCUGCUGCUCCCCGAGCCGUACGCAUUGUAGGGCAGAGGGUAGACGCCCGAGGCCUGGUUUACCCAUCUCUGAUCGCCGUUCUUCUGCUGCUCCUUCUGCUGCUGCUCCUCGUACUGUCGCAGCAGCUCGCCCACCUGCUCCUGAUCCUUAAAUUGGCUCGAACUGUAGCUCUGCCGUAGCCAGGCACGAUACUGGAGAGGAGAACAAAGAGGCAUAAGGGGAAAAAAAGGGUGCUCAGCACCUGCUUUUCAACAAAGUCAUGAAGAGGAUGUGCAAGGGGUCUGUGGCUACUGGGUCUGAUGCCAGUUCUCCAUUGCCUCCAUUGAGGUUUGCGAGUAUGAUUCUGAAGUUUUACAGAAUUUUUUCUAGAUGUAAUUUGAUGCAAAAACACCACACUUCAACGGUCAUAUUUUCCUUUAAACUGGAAGUCUGCAGUUGCAUUUCCUAUAUCAAAAGCAGGAGAUCUGAUACAAGUAAUUAUAGGCCUAUAAGCAAUUUACCAGAUAUGUAUAAAGUAGCCAAAAUAGCAGUGUGUGACCAUUUAAUUGAUUAUCUAAAUACAAGGGAGUUCCCUCUCUACCCUAUACAAUUUGGAUUUAGGAGCCAUCACUCUACUGACACUGCAAAUUUCUUUUUUUGUUGAACAGAUCGAAGCUAAUCUUGAUCAAGGUGAUGUAGUAGGUACAAUCAUCCUGGAUUUCAAGAAAGGCAUUUGACACCAUAAAUUAUAAUGUACUCCUUUCAAGAUUAAAUUUUUUUUCUGUUAACACA